rnacentral:misc_RNA from 1 species
GAUGAAGAACGCAGCGAAAUGCGAUAAGUAAUGUGAAUUGCAGAAUUUAGUGAAUCAUCGAAUGUUUGAACGCACAUUGCGCCCCUUGGUAUUCCAUGGGGCAUGCCUGUUCGAGCGUCAUUUGUACCUUCAAGCUCUGCUUGGUGUUGGGUGUUUGUCUCGCCUCUGCGUGUAGACUCGCCUCAAAACAAUUGGCAGCCGGCGUAUUGAUUUCGGAGCGCAGUACAUCUCGCGCUUUGCACUCAUAACGACGACGUCCAAAAGUACAUUUUUACACUCUUGACCUCGGAUCAGGUAGGGAUACCCGCUGAACUUAAGCAUAUCAAUAAGCGGAGGA